rnacentral:rRNA from 1 species
UGCAGUCGAGCGGACAGAUGGGAGCUUGCUCCCUGAUGUUAGCGGCGGACGGGUGAGUAACACGUGGGUAACCUGCCUGUAAGACUGGGAUAACUCCGGGAAACCGGGGCUAAUACCGGAUGGUUGUUUGAACCGCAUGGUUCAAACAUAAAAGGUGGCUUCGGCUACCACUUACAGAUGGACCCGCGGCGCAUUAGCUAGUUGGUGAGGUAACGGCUCACCAAGGCAACGAUGCGUAGCCGACCUGAGAGGGUGAUCGGCCACACUGGGACUGAGACACGGCCCAGACUCCUACGGGAGGCAGCAGUAGGGAAUCUUCCGCAAUGGACGAAAGUCUGACGGAGCAACGCCGCGUGAGUGAUGAAGGUUUUCGGAUCGUAAAGCUCUGUUGUUAGGGAAGAACAAGUACCGUUCGAAUAGGGCGGUACCUUGACGGUACCUAACCAGAAAGCCACGGCUAACUACGUGCCAGCAGCCGCGGUAAUACGUAGGUGGCAAGCGUUGUCCGGAAUUAUUGGGCGUAAAGGGCUCGCAGGCGGUUUCUUAAGUCUGAUGUGAAAGCCCCCGGCUCAACCGGGGAGGGUCAUUGGAAACUGGGGAACUUGAGUGCAGAAGAGGAGAGUGGAAUUCCACGUGUAGCGGUGAAAUGCGUAGAGAUGUGGGAGGA